GGGAAACCGACGGCUAUACGGAUGCUGAUGACCGCAUGUCAUCUAAAGGUGGCUUUUAGCUACCACUUGCAGAUGGACCCGCGGCGCAUUAGCUAGUUGGUGAGGUAACGGCUCACCAAGGCGACGAUGCGUAGCCGACCUGAGAGGGUGAUCGGCACACUGGGACUGAGACACGGCCCAGACUCCUACGGGAGGCAGCAGUAGGGAAUCUUCCGCAAUGGACGAAAGUCUGACGGAGCAACGCCGCGUGAGUGAUGAAGGUUUUCGGAUCGUAAAACUCUGUUGUUAGGGAAGAACAAGUACCGUUCGAAUAGGGCGGGACCUUGACGGUACCUAACCAGAAAGCCACGGCUAACUACGUGCCAGCAGCCGCGGUAAUACGUAGGUGGCAAGCGUUGUCCGGAAUUAUUGGGCGUAAAGCGCGCGCAGGCGGUUUCUUAAGUCUGAUGUGAAAGCCCCCGGCUCAACCGGGGAGGGUCAUUGGAAACUGGGGAACUUGAGUGCAGAAGAGGAGAGUGGAAUUCCACGUGUAGCGGUGAAAUGCGUAGAGAUGUGGAGGAACACCAGUGGCGAAGCGACUCUCUGGUCUGUAACUGACGCUGAGGCGCGAAAGCGUGGGGAGCGAACAGGAUUAGAUACCCUGGUAGUCCACGCCGUAAACGAUGAGUGCUAAGUGUUAGAGGGUUUCCGCCCUUUAGUGCUGCAGCAAACGCAUUAAGCACUCCGCCUGGGGGAGUACGGUCGCAAGGACUGAAACUCAAAGGAAUUGACGGGGGGCCCGCACAAGCGGGUGGAGCAUGUGGUUUAUUCGAAGCAACGCGAAGAACCUUACCAGGUCUUGACAUCCUCUGACAACCCUAGAGAUAGGGCUUCCCCUUCGGGGGCAGAGUGACAGGUGGUGCAUGGUUGUCGUCAGCUCGUGUCGUGAGAUGUUGGGUUAAGUCCCGCAACGAGCGCAACCCUUGAUCUUAGUUGCCAGCAUUCAGUUGGGCACUCUAAGGUGACUGCCGGUGACAAACCGGAGGAAGGUGGGGAUGACGUCAAAUCAUCAUGCCCCUUAUGACCUGGGCUACACACGUGCUACAAUGGGCAGAACAAAGGGCAGCGAAGCCGCGAGGCUAAGCCAAUCCCACAAAUCUGUUCUCAGUUCGGAUCGCAGUCUGCAACUCGACUGCGUGAAGCUGGAAUCGCUAGUAAUCGCGGAUCAGCAUGCCGCGGUGAAUACGUUCCCGGGCCUUGUACACACCGCCCGUCACACCACGAGAGUUUGUAACACCCGAAGUCGGUGAGGUAACCUUUUGGAGCCAGCCGCCG
rnacentral:rRNA from 1 species